rnacentral:misc_RNA from 1 species
GAUGAAGAACGUAGCGAAAUGCGAUACUUGGUGUGAAUUGCAGAAUCCCGUGAACCAUCGAGUCUUUGAACGCAAGUUGCGCCCGAAGCCAUUGGGCCGAGGGCACGCCUGCCUGGGCGUCACACGUCGUUGCCCCCCCAUCUACUCCUUCGGGAUUGCGAGGGGCGGAUGAUGGCCUCCCGUGCGCCUCGUCGCGCGGUUGGCAUAAAUGCCAAGUCCUCGGCGACGCACGCCACGACAAUCGGUGGUUGCGAAACCUCGGUUGCCCGUCGUGUGCGGUCGUCGCGCAUCGAGGGCUCGAAAAAAUUGCCGGGCUCCGGCUCGGCUUUCAACGCGACCCCAGGUCAGGCGGGGUUACCCGCUGAAUUUAAGCAUAUCAAUAAGCGGAGGA